rnacentral:ncRNA from 1 species
AGCUAGGGGAGCCAUUUUAUGGCUGAGAGUGUUCUACAAGAGGACUCAACCCUUUGAACCUGAUCUGGAUCAUACCAGCGUAGGGAAGCGGAUUUU